CAUGGGUGUGUCCUGCUGUGCAGACUGUAUCACCAGUUCUGUUUGCUGUUUAUGUGGAGAUCUGGCAUGAGACUCUGCCAUGGUCCUUGGCGCUGCUCUUCUUGGACUUGGGUUUUUAAUGGCACAGAAGAUUUGGGCACAAUAUGGGCAACCACCCCAGCCUUCCAUCUGGGCAGUUCCAGGAGCUGUGAUUUCCACAGGCAGUGCUGUGACCAUCUUCUGCAGGGCUCCUCCAGGAGUGAUCAGAGUAUGUCUAAUCCAUUAUGUACCGGAUGGAAAUUGGUUUGAUUGCACCCCACAGGGAGCCCAGGAGGUGUUUGAAUUCAGUCUGAAGAAUAUGACACACAGAAAUGCUGGAUUUUACUACUGUGACUACUUCAACGGAAGUG